rfam:Roseburia sp. CAG:45 genomic scaffold, scf1
UUUUGUGACUGGUUAGGGGCGCUUGGAAUUUCAUCUGGCAACCGGCAACGUUGGCACAGGACGUGCCAACGAGGUGCAACUGGAACACGGAUGUGACUUUGCGCCGAUUGCCGGAAUAGAUAUAAUGUAGAGCGAAAUUCUUAGCGCCCCUUACCAGUUGCAUGA